UAGUCCACUUCCUGUGUUUGGAGCCGUCUCCAAUCUGCUUGGCGUUCACACAUGCAACCAAACCGAGCCUGAGUGACGCGCGGUACUCUGUGAAGGGCAGCAUGCUUCUGUUUGUUGCUAGUUGAUGGAGGUUUCUGGAUUACAAGAAGACGUUACACAGUUUUGUAUUAACCCUUUCAGGUUGAAGCAGCCAAUGAGGUUAUAGAUAUGGAGGAGGCCCCAGGGAAACCCAGCACACGCUGGAGGGACGAUGUCUCUCUGCUGGCCUGGGAACGCCUUGGGAUUCCUGGAGGAGCUGGA